rnacentral:lncRNA from 1 species
UAGAUCCUCAACUCCAAGGAUGCUCAUCUAUAACACCAGCAUUGCGAGUUCAAACAGGGACAGGGGAUCCCGAAAGUCACACACCAGACAGUCUAGUCAAUUGCUUAGCUCUAGAUUCGUCGAGAGGAGAGACGUCUCAAAAAUUAAUAGGGGGGGGGGCAGAGAGAUGGCUCUGUGGUUAAGAGCAUUGGCUGCUCUUCCAGAGGACCUAGGUUUGAUUUCCAGUAGCAACAUGGCGGUUCAUAAACAUCUACAAGUCCAGUCCCAGAGGAUCCAGCACCCUCUUCCGGCCUGUGUGGGCCCCAGGCAUAUACAUGGUGCACACACUCACAGGUCAACCAAACACCCAUACACAUACAAUAAAAUAAUAAAAA